rnacentral:tRNA from 1 species
GGCUCGGUAGCUUAGUUGGUAAAGCGCUCGUCUAGCAUACAAGCGUCGUGGGCUCGAAUCGCAGCCGAGCAA